GAGUUUGAUCCUGGCUCAGAACGAACGCUGGCGGCGUGCUUAACACAUGCAAGUCGAACGUGAUCCGGAGCUUGCUCCGGUGAAAGUGGCGCACGGGUGAGUAACGCGUGGAUAAUCUGCCCUGGUAUCUGGGAUAACAUCUCGAAAGGGGUGCUAAUACCGGAUAAGCCUACGGUCUCUUCGGAGUCUGCAGGAAAAGGUGGCCUCUAUUUAUAAGCUACCGUAUCAGGAUGAGUCCGCGUACCAUUAGCUAGUUGGUGGGGUAAUGGCCCACCAAGGCUACGAUGGUUAGCUGGUCUGAGAGGAUGAUCAGCCACACUGGAACUGAGACACGGUUCAGACUCCUACGGGAGGCAGCAGUGGGGAAUUUUGCGCAAUGGGGGAAACCCUGACGCAGCAACGCCGCGUGAGUGAUGAAGGCUUUCGGGUCGUAAAGCUCUGUCAGAGGGGAAGAAAUGAGUCUGGCUAAUAUCCAGAUUUCUUGACGGUACCCUCAAAGGAAGCACCGGCUAACUCCGUGCCAGCAGCCGCGGUAAUAC
rnacentral:rRNA from 1 species